ACUAUUGUCUGCAUGGCAUCCUUCCUGCUCCUCGUUGCGGCCCUCUAUGGCUGUUGCCACCAGCGCCUCUCCCAGAGGAAGGACCAGCAACGACUAACAGAGGAGCUACAGACAGUGGAGAAUGGUUACCAUGACAAUCCAACACUGGAAGUGAUGGAGACCUCAUCAGAAAUGCAGGAG